CAUGGCUUUUUGUUAUUUAUAUAAGGUCUAACCUGCCCAAUGAUGUAAUUAAAUGGCCGCGGUAUUUUGACCGUGCAAAGGUAGCAUAAUCAUUAGUUUUUUAAUUGAAAGCUGGAAUGAAAGGUUGAAUGAGAAAAUGGCUGUCUUUAUUAUAUUUAAUUAAAACUUUAUUUUUAAGUUAAAAAGCUUAAAUUUUUUUUAAAGACGAGAAGACCCUUUAGAGUUUUAUAAAAAUUUAGCUUUUGAGGGUUUAGAAUUUAAUUAUGAGAAAAUUAAUUUUUAUUUAGUUGGGGCGAUUUAAAAAUUUAAAAAACUUUUUUUUUUAUUUAACAUUAAUUUAUGAAUAUUCGAUCCAUAAAUUAUGAUUAUAAGAUUAAAUUACCUAAGGGAUAACAGCGUUAUUUUUUUUGAGAGUUCUUAUCGAAAGAAGAGAUUGCGACCUCGAUGUUGGAUUAAAAUUAAAUUAUGGUGCAGAAGCUAUAAC
rnacentral:rRNA from 1 species